CUAAGAAUAUUCCGCAAUGGACGGAAGUCUGACGGAGCGACGCCGCGUGGAUGAAGAAGGCCGAAAGGUUGUAAAGUUCUUUUGCUGGGGAAGAAUAACCGCAGGAGGGAAUGCCUGUGGGAUGACAAGAACCGGCGAAUAAGCCCCGGCCAACUACGUGCCAGCAGCCGCGGUAACACGUAGGGGGGCGAGCGUUGUUCGGAAUUACUGGGCGUAAAGGGCAUGUAGGCGGCUUGGAAAGCCUGGCGUGAAAGUCUGCAGCUUAACUGCAGGGGUGCGCUGGGAACUGCUGAGCUUGAGUGACGGAGAGGGAGCUGGAAUUCCUGGUGUAGGGGUGAAAUCUGUAGAUAUCAGGAAGAACACCGAUGGCGAAGGCAAGCUCCUGGCCGAUGACUGACGCUGAGGUGCGAAAGUGUGGGGAUCAAACAGGAUUAGAUACCCUGGUAGUCCACACAGUCAACGAUGUGCACUAGGUGCUGGGGCGGUAGCUUCGGUGCCGGAGCGAACGUGGUAAGUGCACCGCCUGGGGAGUAUGCUCGCAAGGGUGAAACUUAAAUGAAUUGACGGGG
rnacentral:rRNA from 1 species